rnacentral:misc_RNA from 1 species
GAUUAAAAGAAUUCAUUGAAAGCAAUUCAGUUAAAAAGAAAAAGGGAGUAGAUAUUGUUGGUUACGGUGAUAGUUUUAAAUUAAAAUUAAAAGUUAUUUUUAUAGAAAAUCUAACUUCAUAUAAAUAAAAAAUAAAAUAAACAAAAGCAUAUUUAUUAUUAAAAGAAUAAAUAAAAAUUUAUUAAAAAUAAAUAAAAAAGUAG